rnacentral:rRNA from 1 species
UACGUAGGGGGCAAGCGUUGUCCGGAAUCAUUGGGCGUAAAGAGCUCGUAGGCGGUUUGUUGCGUCGGCUGUGAAAUCCCGAGGCUCAACCUCGGGUCUGCAGUCGAUACGAGCAAACUAGAGUGUUGCAGGGGAGACUGGAAUUCCUGGUGUAGCGGUGAAAUGCGCAGAUAUCAGGAGGAACACCAAUAGCGAAGGCAGCUCGCUGGGACGGUACUGACGCCUGGAGGCGCGAAAGCGUGGGGAGCGAACAGG